GGAGAAUCCUGAAUUCGAAAGGGGUUGGAUUCAGAUCUUGCCGUUCGCAUACUAGGCAGCCCCACUGCGGAUGGUGCCGGUCGCCCGCGGCGAUUAAUUUCGUUUGCGGUGUCGUUUCUGGUGUCCACUCGGUGGUGGCUUGCCAACUUCACGGAGGGUCGCAUUUCUCCCCUAGUAGAAACGUCGCGACCUGUUGGGUGCCGGCCGAAGGCCUGGGAAGGAAGCCCGCGCAUCCUGUGGUGGUUGCCACAGGCGUGCGGACUCCCGGUGACCCGGCCGGCUGCCCGACGGUAUGACCAGAGGAGCCGAUCCGCUGAAUGGGAAACACUGUGGUUUGUGAAGCGUGCGGCCUGGUGCCGAUACGUGCGGGGAUUGAGGUGUAAACCGGGGGUGCCCAUGCAGAAGCACGGUCCCCCGGCCCUGCUGCGUUGUCGGUUGCCGGUGUCCUCGCACUGGAUCGAUACUCCCGUCUGCGACGCCCACCUUCGGAUGGUCUCCCG
rnacentral:rRNA from 1 species